GCGCCCGUAGCUUAGUUGGUAGAGCGAUGGAACGGCAAUCCACACUAAUCCACAGUCCCGGGUUCAAGUCCCGGCGGUCGCU